rnacentral:tRNA from 1 species
GGAUGUGUGCCCGAAUGCCUUAAGGAUUACUUUGAUAGAGUAAACAAUAUGGGUUAAAGUCCCAUCACCUCCU